AAGUCGUUAGUCUAGUGGUCAUGAUUUCCGCUUGUCACUUGCAGAAGCAACGAGCGCGGGAGACCGGGGUUCGAUUCCCCGUCGGAGAG